rnacentral:tRNA from 1 species
GGCCGGGUAGCUCAGUAGGUAGAGCGGGGGUCUGCAUUUGAAGAGCGGCUCCCAGUAAAACCCCGCGUCGUCGGUUCAACUCCGACUCCGGCCACCA